rnacentral:rRNA from 1 species
GAUGAACGCUGGCGGCGUGCCUAAUACAUGCGAGUCGAGCGAACGGACGAGAAGCUUGCUUCUCUGAUGUUAGCGGCGGACGGGUGAGUAACACGUGGAUAACCUACCUAUAAGACUGGGAUAACUUCGGGAAACCGGAGCUAAUACCGGAUAAUAUUUUGAACCGCAUGGUUCAAAAGUGAAAGACGGUCUUGCUGUCACUUAUAGAUGGAUCCGCGCUGCAUUAGCUAGUUGGUAAGGUAACGGCUUACCAAGGCAACGAUGCAUAGCCGACCUGAGAGGGUGAUCGGCCACACUGGAACUGAGACACGGUCCAGACUCCUACGGGAGGCAGCAGUAGGGAAUCUUCCGCAAUGGGCGAAAGCCUGACGGAGCAACGCCGCGUGAGUGAUGAAGGUCUUCGGAUCGUAAAACUCUGUUAUUAGGGAAGAACAUAUGUGUAAGAAACUGUGCACAUCUUGACGGUACCUAAUCAGAAAGCCACGGCUAACUACGUG